rnacentral:rRNA from 1 species
GUAUCAUGGCUCAGGAUGAACGCUGGCGGCGUGCUUAACACAUGCAAGUCGAACGAAGCACUUAAGACAGAUUCUUCGGAUGAAGUUUUUUGUGACUGAGUGGCGGACGGGUGAGUAACGCGUGGGUAACCUGCCUCGAUACAGGGGGAUAACAGUUAGAAAUGACUGCUAAUACCGCAUAAGCGCACAGGGUCGCAUGACCUGGUGUGAAAACUCCGGUGGUAUGAGAUGGACCCGCG